rnacentral:lncRNA from 1 species
CCUAUGCCAAACUGGGCCCAUUACAAAUUAAAACCCAAACCACCAUCUAAGUUCUCACUCGCUCUCUUCCUUUUCUUUCCUUUUUGAAAACCUAGCCAUCAUCUCUCCCUCGAUCUCUCCAACUCAUCCUCCUAAUCCCUUCUUAUCUAGUGGUGACAUUGCCAUGGCAGACAUCGUUGAUAGCUUUGGCCAUGGAUCAAUGAGCUCUAACCUUGGUCAGUGACCUCCAAUCCCAAUUGACGAUGUCCA